GUAGUUUUUUCUCCUUCCAAAAAUGUAUAAAAAUUAAUUUUGCUACAACUGGAUUAGCGUUUACAAUGAUAUACUGUCGCUUAUAUAUUAAAUGAACUUGUUUCUUGAAGAAAAUUUGAGAGGGAUUUAUAAGAGAGAACGAAUAAUGAAUAGAAAACUAUGAGAAAUAACACAAAAGAGAGGACGUUAUAAACCAAAUCAACACAGCACAGAGUGAAGACGAAAUCAAUAGAGUCUCGUAAUGUCUCUCUCAACUUCAAUGCAAUUAAAUUCAUUGUACAAGAUGUUUAAAAAAUAUAAAAAAGAAUGGAACAACC